rnacentral:rRNA from 1 species
CCUACGGGAGGCAGCAGUAGGGAAUUUUCGGCAAUGGGGGGAACCCUGACCGAGCAACGCCGCGUGAGCGAAGACGUUAUUCGUAUUGUAAAGUUCUUUUAACAGGGACGAAAGAGAAAUUUAACGUUACCUGAUGAAUAAGCUCCGGCUAACUACGUGCCAGCAGCCGCGGUAAUACGUGGGGAGCGAGCGGUUUCCGGAAUUAUUGGGCGUAAGGGGUGCGUAGUUGGUGUAGUAAGUUUUUGGUAAAAAUGCUGGGCUCAACCCAGGAGGGCAGAAGAUACUGCAAAGAUAGAGUAUGACAGAGGUAAGUGGAAGUACAGGUGUAGCGGUAAAAUGCGUAGAUAUAAGGAAGAACACCGGUGGCGAAGGCAGAUUACUGGGUCGUUACUGACACUGAGGCGCGAAAGCGUGGGGAGCAAACAGGAUUAGAUACCCGGGUAGUC